AAGAAAUUGCGUUAUUAAAAGUCAGUGUAAUGUUUAUUUAAAAUUAAAGAGAGUGUUUCUAUGUAUAUCUUUUGUGAAUAUUUAUUAGGAUUUCUUGUAUUAAAAAGUGCAAUAUUAGUAAUUGUACAUUGUCAUCCAGAAAAACAAGUCUUUGGGGGAUUUUAUUAACUUCCUGCAGCUGUGUUCCUAAAAACUCUGUGGGCCAUAAUUGUAUUCUUCCUAAUUUUAAAAGAAACAAAACAGAUGUUUAACUCUGAUCCACUGUGUACAGAGUACCUUGUAAAAGCUAAUGUGGGAUUGGGGGAGAGCAAUAGAAUCGAUUUGUUUGUGACACUAGUUAUACAUAAAACGAACACAGAUUCUGUAAUACCGAUACAGUUGAUUAGUUCAGUAGCUAUUAAAAAUCGGUGGUCAGUGUUUGAACUUUUAUAAUAAGCAGGCAUCUUCCAGCUCUGCCACCUGUCAGAAUGUGAGGUUGGAAGUGCCUUUCAGAACAAGUCGGAGAGCUUAGGUUUGGAGUGGAAAGCAGUGUGCUCCUUGCAUGACAUGAAUGUACAUUUAAUAUUUGUUCUGUGAAUUGUGACUCAGCAGUACCACAAAUUAUCGGGGCUGCUGGAUAAUGCAGAAGGAGACACUUCCUCCUCUAAAACACAAAACUGUAUUUAUAUUUUUUGUACAGAUAAUACAGCUUAUUUAUUU
rnacentral:lncRNA from 1 species